UUACUUAAAUGUUUUUCUCUAUGUGCUAAAUGAAAUCACCAUUAUGUACUACACCCAGUUCGAUGUACUGUGAAGUUACUUAAACUAAGCCUGCUUUUUUUCUCCUUAGUCAUUUCUUUUCUUAAUUGUAUCAGUGUAAUUACCACACACUCGUGUCAGUCAUUGCAACUGUGUCUUGUGGUGCUAAAUCAGGGGUGUCAAACUCCAGUCCUGGAUAACACCUGUUUUCUGACAAAACAUCCUACCUAUCGAGACGUGCUAUCGAGCCUUUCUGCGCAUGUGCAGUUCCACCGUCUUGGGAUACGCUCAAUGUACGUCACAGUUCCGGGUUGGUUUAUACCGGCUGAUUAACUUCCGGUUACACCGGCGCGACAGACAUGACUCUUUUUUACAGUCGCCGUCUUCAAGACCUGCCUCGUCUGACAGUCAAUGAUGUGGACAGACUUGUCAGGACAUCAUGCCCCACUCCCUCCAGCAAACGGGAAAAGGGAUUUAAGAUGUAUAUCGGCAGCAACAUCGACAUUUAUGAGAGAAAGGAAUGAAAACUUACACAGGAGUUGUACCGUGAAGAUACCGAGCACAAAGGGACACUACAGUGCUCCGACGCUGCUUUAAUUUGUUUUUGACGUCGCAAAACCGUCUUCUCCAUGGUUAUGUAGAGUAAACACAAAACUGUAUUACAUAAAACUUUUUUCGCUUGUUAUUUAACUGAAGGUGCGAUACUCCCACACAGCCACUAGUUUCUCUUGCAAACCGGAAGCUUUCCUGUCUGUAUAAAGUAUGAGCGGAAAUACGUCAGCAUUCUCGUUGCAUACCCCCAAUUAGGGUUUAUUGAUGGGAAGUUCGGCUCAAUUAACUGAUUUGAUUCUUUCGAACUGGCCGUUGUAAUGAAUCGAUUCUAAAACCGAUUCUAUGAUUCACUUUUUUUUUUUCGUCUUUUUUUUUGCGCCUGACCAUAUGACUCAAGGAAUCAUGGAAUCGGAUAAUAAAUCUGUCUCAAGCUUACGUUAUUUGACUGAAAGAUAGCGCUGGUGUUCAACAAAAAUGUUCAGCUUGACUAUUCACAAAAAAAAAACAAUAUAUAAAAAACAGAAAGAUGUCGAUGCUGAAUAAACACAC